UACACUCCUGCGGGAGGCAGCAGUGGGGAAUAUUGGACAAUGGGCGCAAGCCUGAUCCAGCCAUGCCGCGUGAGUGAUGAAGGCCCUAGGGUUGCAAAGCUCUUUCACCGGUGAAGAUAAUGACGGUAACCGGAGAAGAAGCCCCGGCUAACUUCGUGCCAGCAGCCGCGGUAAUACGAAGGGGGCUAGCGUUGUUCGGAUUUACUGGGCGUAAAGCGCACGUAGGCGGACUAUUAAGUCAGGGGUGAAAUCCCGGGGCUCAACCCCGGAACUGCCUUGGAUACUGGUAGUCUUGAGUUCGAGAGAGGUGAGUGGAAUUCCGAGUGUAGAGGUGAAAUUCGUAGAUAUUCGGAGGAACACCAGUGGCGAAGGCGGCUCACUGGCUCGAUACUGACGCUGAGGUGCGAAAGCGUGGGGAGCAAACAGGAUUAGAUACCCUAGUAGUCCC
rnacentral:rRNA from 1 species